CUUUCUCUAACUUUAUUGCACAAUAUAAUAGUAGUGAAUAUAUCAUUGAGUCAGUUGGAGAAAAAAAUAGCUUGUCUUAUGUCAGGUGAACAAGAACAACUUAAAUAAUAAUAGCUCUCAAACCACGUAUUUUCUGCAGUAGUUAAUUGUAACAAGAAAUUAAUUGCCCACAUUUUAUAGCUUAGCAAAGUAGAAAGGCAGAAGUUGCACAAUCUUCCCAAACCUGUCAAACAAAGAACAAUUGGAAAAUCCUGGAAUUUCUAACUUUCUUUUUUUCCUUUGGAUGUCUACAAUGGAAUUGUGGCUCAAAAUUAAAUAGUCUCUGACAAAUAUUCAUUGAGCACUAUUAAAUUCCAGACACUGUAUUAGUGCUUUAUAAGUAUUAACUCAGGUAAUCAUCUAUGUAAGGAUUGAUGUCAAGCCCAAGAAGCAAUGGUCGAUGGCCACCGAUAACAAGCUGGCAGUCUUCAUGUGCUGAACAGUGUGUACACAUGGAAGAGGAAUUUAGGCAGAGCAGAGGGAGGCUCACAUAUGGCACUGACCUUUCCUCUGGAAGGAUUAGCAAAAACCUUUACCAAGAACAUUAACUGGAGACAGUUGGGAAAUAGUUCAGCAGCUUCUCAGAUGGUGGUUGUUUCUUGUCUACCUGGGAUUGGUCAAUUAGGAUUUUCUUGGCCUGUAAAAACAGUAACCAUAUGUUCUAGAUUUUCUGGGACAGCCUUAAUUAAAAAUAUUCUUUCCCGUUGUUAGACCAUGUGUCAAACCAUGUGUUCUGGUAUUUUUUUCUCCGCCUCUUUUUGACCCAUCAAAUGUUUUUCCAAUAAUCAUUGCCUAUAGUUAACCCUCACUGGCUUAUGAGUCCUUAUGCCAUGCCAAACCCUUAUGCUAGAUAACGACUGAG